rnacentral:rRNA from 1 species
AGGCUCGUCCGCUCAGGGUUAGUCGGGACCUAAGCCGAGGCCGAUAGGCGUAGGCGAUGGACAACAGGUUGAUAUUCCUGUACCACCUCCUCACCGUUUGAGAAAUGGGGGGACGCAGUAGGAUAGGGUAAGCGCGCUGUUGGUUAUGCGCGUCCAAGCAGUAAGGCGUGUGUGUAGGCAAAUCCGCACACUGUAACGUUGAGCUGUGAUGGCGAGUCCGUAUGGACGAAGUUCCUGAUUUCACACUGCCAAGAAAAGCCUCUAUCGAGGUGAGAGGUGCCCGUACCGCAAACCGACACAGGUAGUCGAGGAGAGAAUCCUAAGGUGUGCGAGAGAACUCUCGUUAAGGAACUCGGCAAAAUGACCCCGUAACUUCGGGAGAAGGGGUGCUCUUGAGCGUGCAAGCGCAUGAGAGCCGCAGUGAAUAGGCCCAGGCGACUGUUUAGCAAAAACACAGGUCUCUGCAAAACCGUAAGGUGACGUAUAGGGGCUGACGCCUGCCCGGUGCUGGAAGGUUAAGAGGAGUGGUUAGCGCAAGCGAAGCUGCGAAUUGAAGCCCCAGUAAACGGCGGCCGUAACUAUAACGGUCCUAAGGUAGCGAAAUUCCUUGUCGGGUAAGUUCCGACCCGCACGAAAGGCGUAACGAUUUGGGCACUGUCUCAACGAGAGACUCGGUGAAAUUAUAGUACCUGUGAAGAUGCAGGUUACCCGCGACAGGACGGAAAGACCCCGUGGAGCUUUACUGUAGCCUGAUAUUGAAUUUUGGUACAACUUGUACAGGAUAGGUAGGAGCCAGAGAUCUCGGAGCGCCAGCUUCGAAGGAGGCGUCGGUGGGAUACUACCCUGGUUGUAUUGAAAUUCUAACCCAUGCCCCUUAGCGGGGCAGGAGACAGUGUCAGGCGGACAGUUUGACUGGGGCGGUCGCCUCCUAAAAGGUAACGGAGGCGCCCAAAGGUUCCCUCAGAAUGGUUGGAAAUCAUUCGUAGAGUGUAAAGGCACAAGGGAGCUUGACUGCGAGACCUACAAGUCGAGCAGGGUCGAAAGACGGGCUUAGUGAUCCGGUGGUUCCGCAUGGAAGGGCCAUCGCUCAACGGAUAAAAGCUACCCCGGGGAUAACAGGCUUAUCUCCCCCAAGAGUCCACAUCGACGGGGAGGUUUGGCACCUCGAUGUCGGCUCAUCGCAUCCUGGGGCUGUAGUCGGUCCCAAGGGUUGGGCUGUUCGCCCAUUAAAGCGGUACGCGAGCUGGGUUCAGAACGUCGUGAGACAGUUCGGUCCCUAUCCGUCGUGGGCGUAGGAAAUUUGAGAGGAGCUGUCCUUAGUACGAGAGGACCGGGAUGGACACACCGCUGGUGUACCAGUUGUCUUGCCAAAGGCAUCGCUGGGUAGCUAUGUGUGGACGGGAUAAGUGCUGAAAGCAUCUAAGCAUGAAGCCCCCCUCAAGAUGAGAUUUCCCAUUACGCAAGUAAGUAAGAUCCCUCAAAGACGAUGAGGUAGAUAGGUUCGAGGUGGAAGUGUGGUGACACAUGGAGCUGACGAAUACUAAUCGAUCGAGGACUUAACCAAAA